rnacentral:rRNA from 1 species
GCANCUGNNGCAGCCAUGCCGCGUGUNNGAAGAAGGCCUUCGGGUUGUAAAGUACUUUCAGCGAGGAGGAAGGCGUUGUGGUUAAUAACCGCAUCGAUUGACGUUACUCGCAGAAGAAGCACCGGCUAACUCCGUGCCAGCAGCCGCGGUAAUACGGAGGGUGCAAGCGUUAAUCGGAAUUACUGGGCGUAAAGCGCACGCAGGCGGUCUGUCAAGUCGGAUGUGAAAUCCCCGGGCUCAACCUGGGAACUGCAUCCGAAACUGGCAGGCUAGAGUCUUGUAGAGGGGGGUAGAAUUCCAGGUGUAGCGGUGAAAUGCGUAGAGAUCUGGAGGAAUACCGGUGGCGAAGGCGGCCCCCUGGACAAAGACUGACGCUCAGGUGCGAAAGCGUGGGGAGCAAACAGGAUUANAUACCCUUGUAGUCCAGACCAAGUCNNNNCUUACCGUAA